GUUGAUAUAGCUCAGUGGUAGAGUGUGUGCUUAUCAUGCAUGAGGUCCUGGGUUCAAUCCCCCAUGCCCCCA
rnacentral:tRNA from 1 species